rnacentral:rRNA from 1 species
GCCCAACAGCUAGCCCACCAAAACAAUUUCAACAAGCCCCUGUUAAUAACCCCUAAAUACCCCAGUAUUAAAAUUAAACAAACCAUUUUUCCCCCUUAGUAUAGGCGAUAGAAAAGGAACUACGGCGCAAUAGAGAAAGUACCGCAAGGGAAUGCUGAAAGAGAAAUGAAACAACCCAGUAAAGCCUAAAAAAGCAGAGAUUAAACCUCGUACCUUUUGCAUCAUGAUUUAGCGAGUGUACCCCAAGCAAAGCGUACUUUAGUUUGACGUCCCGAAACUACGUGAGCUACUCCAAGACAGCCUAUUAAUAGGGCACACCCGUCUCUGUGGCAAAAGAGUGGGGAGAGCUUUGAGUAGAGGUGACAAACCUACCGAACCUAGUUAUAGCUGGUUGUCCAAGAAAUGAAUAGAAGUUCAGCCUCUUGGCUUCUCUUUUCACCCUAGCCUAACCCCUAUUGAUGCAAUAAAGAAACCAAAAGAGUUAGUCAAAGGGGGUACAGCCCCUUUGAAUCAAGACACAACUUUAUCAGGAGGGU